CCUACGGGAGGCUGCAGUGAGGAAUAUUGGUCAAUGGACGAGAGUCUGAACCAGCCAAGUAGCGUGAAGGAUGACUGCCCUAUGGGUUGUAAACUUCUUUUAUAUGGGAAUAAAACAGGGUAUGCAUACCCUCUUGUAUGUACCAUAUGAAUAAGGAUCGGCUAACUCCGUGCCAGCAGCCGCGGUAAUACGGAGGAUCCGAGCGUUAUCCGGAUUUAUUGGGUUUAAAGGGAGCGUAGGUGGAUUGUUAAGUCAGUUGUGAAAGUUUGCGGCUCAACCGUAAAAUUGCAGUUGAAACUGGCAGUCGUGAGUACAGUAGAGGUAGGCGGAAUUCGUGGUGUAGCGGUGAAAUGCUUAGAUAUCACGAAGAACUCCGAUUGCGAAGGCAGCUCACUGGACUGCAACUGACACUGAUGCUCGAAAGUGUGGGUAUCAAACAGGAUUAGAUACCCCAGUAGUC
rnacentral:rRNA from 1 species